CGUGCCUAAUACAUGCAAGUCGAGCGGAACGAUGAAGAAGCUUGCUUCUUCUGAUUUUAGCGGCGGACGGGUGAGUAACACGUGGGCAACCUACCUUGUAGAUUGGGAUAACUCCGGGAAACCGGGGCUAAUACCGAAUAAUCCAUUUUGCUUCAUGGCGAGAUGUUGAAAGACGGUUUCGGCUGUCACUACAAGAUGGGCCCGCGGCGCAUUAGCUAGUUGGUAGGGUAAUGGCCUACCAAGGCGACGAUGCGUAGCCGACCUGAGAGGGUGAUCGGCCACACUGGGACUGAGACACGGCCCAGACUCCUACGGGAGGCAGCAGUAGGGAAUCUUCCACAAUGGACGAAAGUCUGAUGGAGCAACGCCGCGUGAGUGAAGAAGGUUUUCGGAUCGUAAAACUCUGUUGUAAGGGAAGAACACGUACGAGAGUAACUGCUCGUACCUUGACGGUACCUUAUUAGAAAGCCACGGCUAACUACGUG
rnacentral:rRNA from 1 species